rfam:Janthinobacterium sp. KBS0711 VM94_contig000034, whole genome shotgun sequence.
GCGGAUGUGGUGGAAUUGGUAGACACGCUGGUCUUAGAAGCCAGUGCUUCGGCUUGGGAGUUCGAGUCUCCCCAUCCGCA